rnacentral:rRNA from 1 species
UUGGGAAUCUUAGGCAAUGGGCGAAAGCCUGACCUAGCGACGCCGCGUGAGGGAAGAAGGCCUUCGGGUCGUAAACCUCUGUCAUGGGGGACGAAGGAAGUGACGGUACCCCAAGAGGAAGCCCCUGCUAACUACGUGCCAGCAGCCGCGGUAAUACGUAGGGGGCGAGCGUUAUCCGGAAUUAUUGGGCGUAAAGGGCGAGUAGGCGGUCUGUUAAGUCAGGUGUGAAAUUUCAGGGCUCAACCCUGAAACUGCGCUUGAAACUGGCAGGCUAGAGGACAGGAGAGGGAAGUGGAAUUCCCGGUGUAGCGGUGGAAUGCGUAGAUAUCGGGAGGAACACCAGUGGCGAAGGCGGCUUCCUGGACUGUACCUGACGCUGAGGAGCGAAAGCUGGGGGAGC